UACGGGGGGAGCAAGCGUUGUUCGGAUUUACUGGGCGUAAAGGGCGCGUAGGCGGCCAGCACAAGUCAGUUGUGAAAUCUCCGAGCUUAACUCGGAAAGGUCAACUGAUACUGUGCGGCUAGAGUGCAGAAGGGGCAACUGGAAUUCUUGGUGUAGCGGUGAAAUGCGUAGAUAUCAAGAGGAACACCUGCGGCGAAGGCGGCCACCUGGGCCGACCCUGACGCUGAGGCGCGAAGGCGUGGGGAGCGAACGGG
rnacentral:rRNA from 1 species